GAUGAACGCUGGCGGCGUGCCUAAUACAUGCAAGUCGAGCGAACAGAUAAGGAGCUUGCUCCUUUGACGUUAGCGGCGGACGGGUGAGUAACACGUGGGUAACCUACCUAUAAGACUGGAAUAACUCCGGGAAACCGGGGCUAAUGCCGGAUAACAUUUAGAACCGCAUGGUUCUAAAGUGAAAGAUGGUUUUGCUAUCACUUAUAGAUGGACCCGCGCCGUAUUAGCUAGUUGGUAAUGUAACGGCUUACCAAGGCAACGAUACGUAGCCGACCUGAGAGGGUGAUCGGCCACACUGGAACUGAGACACGGUCCAGGCUCCUACGGGAGGCAGCAGUAGGGAAUCUUCCGCAAUGGGCGAAAGCCUGACGGAGCAACGCCGCGUGAGUGAUGAAGGUCUUCGGAUCGUAAAACUCUGUUAUUAGGGAAGAACAAAUGUGUAAGUAACUGUGCACGUCUUGACGGUACCUAAUCAGAAAGCCACGGCUAACUACGUG
rnacentral:rRNA from 1 species